ACGAACGCUGGCGGCGUGCUUAACACAUGCAAGUCGAACGGAAAGGCCCUGCUUUUGUGGGGUGCUCGAGUGGCGAACGGGUGAGUAACACGUGAGUAACCUGCCCUUGACUUUGGGAUAACUUCAGGAAACUGGGGCUAAUACCGGAUAGGAGCUCCUGCUGCAUGGUGGGGGUUGGAAAGUUUCGGCGGUUGGGGAUGGACUCGCGGCUUAUCAGCUUGUUGGUGGGGUAGUGGCUUACCAAGGCUUUGACGGGUAGCCGGCCUGAGAGGGUGACCGGUCACAUUGGGACUGAGAUACGGCCCAGACUCCUACGGGAGGCAGCAGUGGGGAAUAUUGCACAAUGGGCGGAAGCCUGAUGCAGCAACGCCGCGUGCGGGAUGACGGCCUUCGGGUUGUAAACCGCUUUCGCCUGUGACGAAGCGUGAGUGACGGUAAUGGGUAAAGAAGCACCGGCUAACUACGUG
rnacentral:rRNA from 1 species